GUCGAACGCUUUUUCUUUCACCGGAGCUUGCUCCACCGAAAGAAAAGGAGUGGCGAACGGGUGAGUAACACGUGGGUAACCUGCCCAUCAGAAGGGGAUAACACUUGGAAACAGGUGCUAAUACCGUAUAACAAUCGAAACCGCAUGGUUUCGGUUUGAAAGGCGCUUUUGCGUCACUGAUGGAUGGACCCGCGGUGCAUUAGCUAGUUGGUGAGGUAACGGCUCACCAAGGCAACGAUGCAUAGCCGACCUGAGAGGGUGAUCGGCCACAUUGGGACUGAGACACGGCCCAAACUCCUACGGGAGGCAGCAGUAGGGAAUCUUCGGCAAUGGACGCAAGUCUGACCGAGCAACGCCGCGUGAGUGAAGAAGGUUUACGGAUCGUAAAACUCUGUUGUUAGAGAAGAACAAGGAUGAGAGUAGAAUGUUCAUCCCUUGACGGUAUCUAACCAGAAAGCCACGGCUAACUACGUGCCAGCAGCCGCGGUAAUACGUAGGUGGCAAGCGUUGUCCGGAUUUAUUGGGCGUAAAGCGAGCGCAGGCGGUUUCUUAAGUCUGAUGUGAAACGCCCCCGGCUCAACCGGGGAGGGUCAUUGGAAACUGGGAAACUUGAGUGCAGAAGAGGAGAGUGGAUUCCAUGUGUAGCGGUGAAAUGCGUAGAUAUAUGGAGGAACACCAGUGGCGAA
rnacentral:rRNA from 1 species